rnacentral:lncRNA from 1 species
CCACUCAAAAGGAUUGUAUGAGUUCAGCAAAUUUAGAUCAUUAUUGGACCAAUGGAAUUGCCUUGAAGUAUUGGAGGAAACCAAAAUAUGAUAGUUUAGCGAAGACUGAUUUGUUCAACGGCCACUUCAUAACGCAUGAUUAGUUCGCUGAGUCUCUGUCGAAGAUUGGUAUUUUUGAAACUUUGCUUAUAUCUAUAUGGUUGUGCAGCUUUCAGAUCAACGAUGCUUGGUGAAGGCAGCUUCUUUUCAGUCAACACUGCAAGCAUGUCGAGUUCACCCAUGGCAGUGUUGUGGCUGCUCUUGGUACUGGUGGCCUCCCCGGUGCUCGCCGCCGCCCGCCGGCGACGAGGAUCUGACCGGCCCAUAUAAGUACGCU